rnacentral:rRNA from 1 species
CUCUUAGUUGCCAGCAUUCAGUUGGGCACUCUAAUAGAACUGCCGAUGAUAAAUCGGAGGAAGGUGGGGAUGACGUCAAGUCCUCAUGGCCCUUACGGGUUGGGCUACACACGUGCUACAAUGGUGGUGACAGUGGGUUAAUCCCCAAAAACCAUCUCAGUUCCUAUUGUUCUCUGCAACUCGAGAGCAUGAAGUCGGAAUCGCUAGUAAUCGCGGAACAGAAUGCCGCGGUGAAUACGUUCCCGGGCCUUGUACACACCGCCCGU